UACGUAGGGUGCAAGCGUUAAUCGGAAUUACUGGGCGUAAAGCGUGCGCAGGCGGUUUUGUAAGUUUGUCGUGAAAGCCCCGGGCUCAACCUGGGAAUUGCGAUGAAGACUGCAAGGCUUGAAUCUGGCAGAGGGGGUAGAAUUCCACGGUGUAGCAGGUGAAAUGCGUAGAGAUGUGGAGGAACACCGAUGGCGAAGGCAGCCCCCUGGGUCAAGAUUGACG
rnacentral:rRNA from 1 species